rnacentral:piRNA from 1 species
UNGAAAACCAUUAGGAUAUAUUCGUCAGG